ACUGGGCGCGCACCAUGGAAAACGGGUGAAAACCUUGUGCGUGGCAUGGAAGGAUGCACGUACGGGCACACGUGCCAAAAAACGUGAACGUGAGGAAACGGGAAAAACGGGUACGGGGCCGUGUUGCAAUAAACUGGGCGCGCACCAUGGAAAACUGGGGCAAACCAUGUGCGUGGCAUGGACGGAUGCACGUACGGGCACACGGGCCAAAAAACGUGAACGUGAGGAAACGGGAAAAACGGGUAGGGCGGCCGUGUUGCAAAAAGCUGGGCGCGCACCAUGGAAAACAGGGGAAAACCAUGUGCGUGGAGUGGGCGGAUGCACGUACGGGCACACGGGCCAAAAAACGUGAACGUGAGGAANN
rnacentral:lncRNA from 1 species